ensembl:miRNA microRNA 541
ACGUCAGGGAAAGGAUUCUGCUGUCGGUCCCACUCCAGAGUUCGCAAAAUGGGUGGUGGGCACAGAAUCCAGUCUCUGCUUGUG